GGGCCGGUAGCUCAGCGGUAGAGCAGUAGACUCUUAAUCUAUUGGUCGUGGGUCCAAAUCCCACCCGGCUCACUA
rnacentral:tRNA from 1 species